rnacentral:rRNA from 1 species
AACCCCUGCAUUCAGUUGCCAUCGGGUAAUGCCGGGCGACUCUGGAAGGACUGCCAUCGACAAGAAUGGAGGAAGGUGGGGAGUGACGGUCAAGUCAUCAUGGCCCUUAUGUCCAGGGCGACACACGUGCUACAAUGGCCGGCACAACGGGAAGCGAGUUCGCGAGGACGAGCGGAUCCCUCAAAGCCGGUCGCAGUUCGGAUUGAAGUCUGCAACUCGACUUCAUGAAGCUGGAAUCGCUAGUAAUCGUGGAUCAGCCAAGCCGCGGUGAAUACGUUCCCGGGCCUU